rnacentral:tRNA from 5 species
GGGGAGAUACUCAAGCGGCCAACGAGGGCAGACUGUAAAUCUGCUGGUUAUACCUUCACAGGUUCGAAUCCUGUUCUCCCCA